GAUGAACGCUGGCGGCGUGCCUAAUACAUGCAAGUCGAGCGAACGGACGAGAAGCUUGCUUCUCUGAUGUUAGCGGCGGACGGGUGAGUAACACGUGGAUAACCUACCUAUAAGACUGGGAUAACUUCGGGAAACCGGAGCUAAUACCGGACAAUAUUUUGAACCGCAUGGUUCAAAAGUAAAAGACGGUCUUGCUGUCACUUAUAGAUGGAUCCGCGCUGCAUUAGCUAGUUGGUAAGGUAACGGCUUACCAAGGCAACGAUGCAUAGCCGACCUGAGAGGGUGAUCGGCCACACUGGAACUGAGACACGGUCCAGACUCCUACGGGAGGCAGCAGUAGGGAAUCUUCCGCAAUGGGCGAAAGCCUGACGGAGCAACGCCGCGUGAGUGAUGAAGGUCUUCGGAUCGUAAAACUCUGUUAUUAGGGAAGAACAUAUGUGUAAGUAACUGUGCACAUCUUGACGGUACCUAAUCAGAAAGCCACGGCUAACUACGU
rnacentral:rRNA from 1 species